rnacentral:rRNA from 1 species
UACGUAGGGUGCGAGCGUUGUCCGGAAUUAUUGGGCGUAAAGGGCUCGUAGGCGGUUUGUCGCGUCGGGAGUGAAAACCCAGGGCUUAACUCUGGGCUUGCUUUCGAUACGGGCAGACUAGAGGUAUGCAGGGGAGAACGGAAUUCCUGGUGUAGCGGUGAAAUGCGCAGAUACUCGAGGAGACACCGGUGGCGAAGGCGGAUUCUCUGGGCAUUGCCUGACGCUGAGGAGCGAAAAGUGUGGGGAGCGAACAGG